AUAUUUCAACAUCACAAAAACUCACCCAAAUACUUCAUUCCUUCAUAAAACCCAUCCUUCCCAUCCCCUUAUUUCGAUUUCCUCCUUUGUAAAUUGGAAAUGUUAAUUUCAUUCAAUUAUUGUCUAAUUUGUGUAAGAAGUAUUUGUGGGUUUUGAUUAAUCAAGUUUAGAGUUAGGGUUUGUGAAUUAAGUAUUCAUCAAUCAAAGUUAAAUCAGGGAUUUCAAGUUAGGUUAUCGAAGAAUGAAGCAAAGCUAGGGUUCAUCAUCAAGUGGAAUUGGAGAUUUUAUAUAUAUUCAUUAUAAUUCUGAAAUUAUGGUUCUUAUUUAUCAAUUUGGGUUAUUGAAAUCAAGAUUAAGGAGUUGAUUGAUUCAAGUUAUAGCUGUAUUGGGAUAUUGAAGAAGGAUUCAAUUGAAGUUUCUUGUCGGUAUUAAUGGAUUAAUAUUUGGGUAUUGUGUUUCAAAUGGAUAAUUGAUUUUAGUAUUGUUUAGGUAAUUAGUUCAAGUAUUGAAGUUGGCUUCAUUUGAGUUCUCUUUGAGUUCUAAUUUAUAUGGUUUAGUAUUUUAUUAUUGCACUUUUAUUGGUUUUGAUUCAUCUUCAAAGUUUAAGAGCAAAGUUCACUUUUAGUUCUUAAAAAUUAGUUUCUGUCUUCUCUGUUCUCGGCUGAUUUCGAGCCUCUUCUGGCCGUUUCUGGGUUUUGGUGUCUACAAAAGAAUUGGUAGAGCUUCCAGUCGUAGUCGUGCGGGUACUUGAGUCGCCCCAAAUGAGUUUGUAUGAGAGAGUUAUGACCAAAAAUACUAACAGACUAUUAUGAAAAUUGAGAAUAAUCAAUCAUGAGAUUAAUUGUUCAAAUUGGGAUUUUAAUUGGGUAUUUCUUUAAUCAAGUAUUUAAGAUUAUUUUAUGUUUCUUUAUUGGGUAAUUAUGGAUAGUAUGAGUUUGUUGAGUAUUAUUGAUGGUGAUGAAAAAAGGAGCUUGGAUUGUUAUCUUUUGGCGUUAUAAAUUAAUAUACACAAGGUGUUUGUUCAAAUGCAUCAAUGAAGUUCUUUGGUGUUCUAACUUGAUUUUUGGUUGAAGAAUUUAUUCAUAAAGGAGUACGGCACGCAAACGUCGAUGAUAAAGAGUACUUUUAAUCGUUGCUUGAUGAAGUGUUGAAAGUCGAUCCCGCAGUUGUAGGCCGCAUGUCUUAGGUACUUAAAGAUGAAUUACGUCCUGAUGGUACCGAUAUACCUAAGCUACAUGCAAGUCCACCAAGAAAGAGAAGACCAACAACAAGCAAAACCCUCAAGAGAAAUAAAAGCGCCUUUGAAUACAAUAGAUCAUCCUCUAGGGGUCGUGGGUCUAGAUCUUAAUCCCGCGGGAGAUCUAGUGGUCGAGAAACGCAAUCCUCAGUUGAAAUUAACUUUAGUUUCAACUUAUCUGAUGGUUCAGCAGGUCGUGAUUUUUUAGUGUUUUCAUGGCCCAUUCACAUCCCGCAUAUUCUCCCUCCUUACUUGUUUGAUUGGAUUGAUGUUAUAGGUGAUAGUAAUUGUGGAUUUAGAGCUAUUGUCGUAUGUUAGAUUAUAUGGGGUACAACGACCACAAGGUAAUAACAUCGCUCUAGAUGCAAUCAAUUUAGAUAGUCCAUAGUACAAUACUGUAUAUUGAUUUAAGAUUUGUAUUUUUUUGUAAUUAUUUAUGUUGCCUUUGUAUCUAGAUGGCAUUCAACAUGUGUAGAUAAAUACUUACGGUUAUAGAUAGUAUUCAACAUGUAUAGAUAAAUGUAUUAAUGAAAAAAAUAUAAUG